rnacentral:rRNA from 1 species
UACGUAGGUGGCAAGCGUUGUCCGGAUUUAUUGGGCGUAAAGCGAGCGCAGGCGGUUGCUUAGGUCUGAUGUGAAAGCCUUCGGCUUAACCGAAGAAGUGCAUCGGAAACCGGGCGACUUGAGUGCAGAAGAGGACAGUGGAACUCCAUGUGUAGCGGUGGAAUGCGUAGAUAUAUGGAAGAACACCAGUAGCGAAGGCGGCUGUCUGGUCUGCAACUGACGCUGAGACUCGAAAGCAUGGGUAGCGAACAGG